UCGGCCAAAACUGCACCCAGUUCGGCUUCGCCCUCCUGACUGAAAAAGGAAUAAUAAAACCCGCCACUGCUUCCUAUUAUCGCCAUCAAACCUGCAAGAACAACAACAAAAACCAAAAACAACAACAGACAAUAUCAGUCCGGGUCCGCCGACACCAGCCGUGCCUGCAGCGAGAGAGCGUUUUUUAUUUCUGUAUUUCUCUCUGACAGAGACGUGGCUGUAGUUAGACCGCCAGGGGACGAGGCGCAGAGAGUCGCCUGCUCCUCCACUUCUCUGCUGCUUUGUCCUGAAUUCAGGCUGAGAAAACGCUGCAGCUUGUUUUUCCCAAUGCAGAGCGCCUCGACGCCAUGAGCUGCUGCUACUGCUGCCCCUGUGCAGUGAGAGAGCACACUGAACACCAACAGUCAGUCAUCCAGAUCUGCCACCACCAAAUGAAAUUACACAGGAAUGAAUCAGCCAUUCAGACUCGGCCUGGCCCCUAUGAGCAGCUGGGGAACAUUGGUUGUCACACUGAACGGCGGUGAAAGAUGGGAGGGCAGGAGAUGAGCCCCCCCCUCCCGUCUGUGUGAUAAAGCCCCCUUAAAACCACAGCGUUUGGGCAUCUGGGCACACGAUGCCUCGCCUCCCCUCAUCCACUUCAAAGCCUCGUCUCAGAAGACAGCUCGCUGUUAGCAGCCGAAAUAGAAAAUGGAGGUGUGAUGGCGAGAACAACCGCGCGUAUGUGAAUUCACCGAGCAUCGGAUUAAAGGACAACAACGGUUUAUCACCACUUGUGCUUUAUUUGUUUUGGCCAAUAAAUUCACACUGCUUUACAACGUUGUGAUGAUUUUACACUCACAGAAGUAAUCAUGAGAAUCUGGAACGUGUCUGGAACAGGUCGCAGACAAGCCAAACCUUUUUCACUUCUCAAAGAGAAGUUAAAUCGAAAGUGAGAGUACGCAUGAGUAAUCAUACGCUUAUCGUCUUAACGUCGCACUCUAAAAUUGGUAAAAUGAGCUGUCUGUCUGGCCCAUUACGGCCCCGACUGCCAGAGAGGUGAAUCAGGCUACUGUUAUCUUUGGUAUUGCAACAUGGAGACAACUAGCAAGUGGCCACAACUUUAUGAGAACGUAAAAAUUGAAAGUAAAUACUGGUCAUGCCAUUAAUGAUCUCUUAUCGUCUUAGUCUUGUACCGAAGAGUUCCUAAAAUGCGCUCUGUCUCCAACCAUGGCCUUGCUGCUUGGUAAGCAAAUUAGGCCAUUCUUAACUUUGCUAGCACAACAUGGAGAAAACAAGCAAGCUGUUACGACUUUAUGAGAGGUUAAAUUGAAAUGAGAAUAGUGGAAGUGUCAGGUAAUUGUUAUCUUUUCUAACGUAUAAUGGAGAAAACUAGCAGGCUCUGCUGGAUGUAUAACCAUCACAAUGAAACUUUCCGAAAAGUAAAUGUGGAAAGCAUUUUGCAGUUAGAAUAAGAAAUAAUGAACAAAGGUAAGGCUGUUUGCUGACUUUGUAAAAUGCUGCUAGCGUACACACUCUAUGGUAACGUUAGCUAGUUACUCGAGUGAAACAAGACACGACAGACAACAUUAAGUCAGUUUUUUCUUUUUUUUAUAACAAAUUCUGUUUUGAAUUAAUUCAGACAAGUUACAGGUCAGUUAACUUUGUUUGAACUAUUUCAU